rnacentral:rRNA from 1 species
AUUGAACGCUGGCGGCAUGCCUUACACAUGCAAGUCGAACGGCAGCACGGGUGCUUGCACCUGGUGUCGAGUGGCGAACGGGUGAGUAAUACAUCGGUACAUUUCCUGUAGUUUUGGAUAGCCCGCCGAAAGCCGGAUUAAUACCGCAUACGAUCUACGUGUGACAUCGUGGGACCUUCGGGCCUCGCGCUGUUGGGUUGGCCGUUGGCUGAUGAGCUAGUUUUUGGGGUGAAGUCCUACCCCGGCGACGAGCAGUAGCUGCUCUGAGAGGACGACCGGCGACACGGGGAGGGAGACACGGACAAGAGGACUAAGGGAGGCAGCAGUGGGGAAGUGUGGACAAUGGGCGAAAGCCUGAUACAGUAAUGCGGAGUGUGUGAAGAAGGCCUUCGGGGUGUAAAGAAGGUUUGUGCGGAAAGAAAUGCUUGGGCCUAAGACGGUCGGGGGAUGACGGUACCGGAAGAAGAAGCACCGGCUAACUACGUG